rnacentral:rRNA from 1 species
AUUGAACGCUGGCGGUAGGCCUAAUACAUGCAAGUCGAACGAGUGGCGGACGGGUGAGUAAUGCUUGGGAAUCCAGCUUAUGGAGGGGGAUAACUACGGGAAACUGUAGCUAUUACCGCGUACCUGAGGAUUAUCCCAAGUGGGAUUAGGUAGUUGGUGAGGUAAAGGCUCACCAAGCCGACGAUCUCUAGCUGGUCUGAGAGGAUGACCAGCCAUACUGGGACUGAGACACGGCCCAGACUCCUACGGGAGGCAGCAGUGGGGAAUAUUGCGCAAUGGGGGAAACCUGACGCAGCCAUGCCGCGUGAAUGAAGAAGGCCUUCGGGUUGUAAAGUUCUUUCGGUAGCGAGGCGUUAACUACAGAAGAAGCACCGGCUAACUACGUGCCAGCAGCCGCGGUAAUUC